CCAGGGGGCCGGGCAGCCGCGUCUCUCCGCUUGUGCGGGGGGCCGAGGAAAGUCCGGGCUCCGCGAAACGAGGGUGGCGGGUAACGCCCGCCGGGCUCAGGCGACUGGGCUCAGGGAAAGUGCCACAGAGAGUAUACCGCCGAUGGCCUCUAAAGGGCACAGGCAUGGGUGAAAGGGUGCGGUAAGAGCGCACCGGGGCUCUGGUAACAGCGUCCGCAUGGCAAACCCCACCCGGAGCAAGACCGAAUAGGGGUUCCGCGCCCGAAAGGGCAGGAGUGUUUCGCUCCGAGGAACCCGGGUUGGUUGCUGGAGCGGCCGGGCAACCGGUCGCCGAGAUGAAUGGCUGCCCCCGCCCGGCGCGUCCUUUCGGGGAUACGGCCGGCGGGACAGAACCCGGCUUACAGGCCCCCUGGCAUU
rnacentral:RNase_P_RNA from 2 species